GUCGUGCGAGAAAGCACCCUUCGGGGUGUGAGUAGAGCGGCGAACGGGUGAGUAACACGUAAGUAACCUUCCUCUAAAUUUGGGAUAACCUUGCCAACGCGGGGCUAAUACCGGAUGUGGUCUUUGUAACUCAUGUUAUAAAGAUUAAAGAUGACCUCUUCUUGAAAGUUAUUGUUUAGAGAUGGACUUGCGGACCAUUAGUUUGUUGGCGGGGUAACGGCCCACCAAGACUACGAUGGUUAGCCGGCCUGAGAGGGCGAUCGGCCACAUUGGGACUGAGAUACGGCCCAGACUCCUACGGGAGGCAGCAGUAGGGAAUUUUGCGCAAUGGGGGAAACCCUGACGCAGCAACGCCGCGUGAGUGAUGAAGGUUUUCGGAUUGUAAAACUCUGUUGAGUGGGAAGAAACACGUUAAGUAUAAUACGCUUAGCGUUUGACGGUACCAUUCGAGGAAGCCCCGGCUAAAUACGUGCCAGCAGCCGCGGUAAUACGUAUGGGGCAAGCGUUGUUCGGAAUCACUGGGCGUAAAGGGAGCGUAGGCGGAAAGGUAAGUUAGAAGUGUAAUCCACAGGCUUAACCUGUGGCUUGCUUUUAAUACUGCUUUUCUUGAGUAUUGGAGAGGAAGACGAAUUCCAGGUGUAGCGGUGGAAUGCGUAGAUAUCUGGAAGAACACCAGUUGCGAAGGCGGUCUUCUGGCCAAAUACUGACGCUGAGGCUCGAAAGCGUGGGGAGCGAACAGGAUUAGAUACCCUGGUAGUCCACGCCGUAAACGAUGGACACUAGAUGUCGGGAGGCUUGUCUUUUCGGUGUCGUAGCUAACGCGUUAAGUGUCCCGCCUGGGGAGUACGCUCGCAAGAGUGAAACUCAAAGGAAUUGACGGGGGCCCGCACAAGCGGUGGAGCAUGUGCUUUAAUUCGAUGCAACGCGAAGAACCUUACCUGGAUUUGACAUGGGAGUGAAAGGUUCCAGAGAUGGAACUCCUUCCUUCGGGAACACUCUGCACAGGUGCUGCAUGGUUGUCGUCAGCUCGUGUCGUGAGAUGUUGGGUUAAGUCCCGCAACGAGCGCAACCCUCGUCCUUAGUUGCCAUCAGGUAACGCUGGGAACUCUAAGGAGACUGCCUGGUUCAACCAGGAGGAAGGUGGGGAUGACGUCAAAUCCUCAUGGCCCUUACGUCCAGGGCUAGACACGUGCUACAAUGGUCAGUACAGAGGGAUGCCAAGUCGUGAGACUGAGCUAAUCCGUUAAAACUGAUCUCAGUUCGGAUUGGAGUCUGCAAUUCGACUCCAUGAAGUUGGAAUCGCUAGUAAUCGCGGAUCAGCAUGCCGCGGUGAAUAUGUUCCCGGGCCUUGUACACACCGCCCGUCAAGCCACGAAAGAUGGCAGUGCCCGAAGUCGCUUCUCUAACCCUCGGGAAGAGUGCGCCUAAGGUAAG
rnacentral:rRNA from 1 species